GAUGAACGCUGGCGGCGUGCUCAACACAUGCAAGUCGAACGAAGCACCUUAUUCUGAUUUCUUCGGAAUGAAAAAUUUGGUGACUGAGUGGCGGACGGGUGAGUAACGCGUGGGUAACCUGCCUCAUACAGGGGGAUAACAGUUAGAAAUGACUGCUAAUACCGCAUAAGACCACAGCACCGCAUGGUGCAGGGGCAAAAACUCCGGUGGUAUGAGAUGGACCCGCGUCUGAUUAGGUAGUUGGUGGGGUAACGGCCUACCAAGCCGACGAUCAGUAGCCGACCUGAGAGGGUGACCGGCCACAUUGGGACUGAGACACGGCCCAAACUCCUACGGGAGGCAGCAGUGGGGAAUAUUGCACAAUGGGGGAAACCCUGAUGCAGCGACGCCGCGUGAGCGAUGAAGUAUUUCGGUAUGUAAAGCUCUAUCAGCAGGGAAGAAAAUGACGGUACCUGACUAAGAAGCACCGGCUAAAUACGUGCCAGCAGCCGCGGUAAUACGUAUGGUGCAAGCGUUAUCCGGAUUUACUGGGUGUAAAGGGAGCGUAGACGGAGUGGCAAGUCUGAUGUGAAAACCCGGGGCUCAACCCCGGGACUGCAUUGGAAACUGUCAAUCUAGAGUACCGGAGAGGUAAGCGGAAUUCCUAGUGUAGCGGUGAAAUGCGUAGAUAUUAGGAGGAACACCAGUGGCGAAGGCGGCUUACUGGACGGUAACUGACGUUGAGGCUCGAAAGCGUGGGGAGCAAACAGGAUUAGAUACCCUGGUAGUCCACGCCGUAAACGAUGACUACUAGGUGUCGGGCAGCAAAGCUGUUCGGUGCCGCAGCAAACGCAAUA
rnacentral:rRNA from 1 species